ensembl:lncRNA
AUUCUGGAAUGUUGUAGUAAUGCUUGUGCCUUUGAGUUGCAGUGUGGCCAAAUGUACAGGACAAAACACAAUUCGAAAAUGAACUCCGGCAUUAUUCUGGGAAAGACAAGGGGAAUCUAUGGAAGCUGGUCAUUCUUCCUAGCUCAGACCUGGAGUAGGAUGAUUGGGCUUCCCAAGGGUGGCAGCACCAGCAAGGCUGGCAGCAACUAUCUCCUGUGGAAAGUCAAGGUACAGCUGAAGGACUGUGGCCAGUAGAUUCACAGUUGUGUGAUCCUUGGAUUUUUAGAUCUACCAGCCGGAUCUCCUUGCCAGAGCUCUGCAAGAAUGAUUUUUUGUUUCCGCCCCCAUGUUGGCAAGAGAGUCUCAGGCAUCUGAAUGCAGCAGGACAGGACACAUCUUGUAAAGAAUCUCCAGAAAGGAACACAACCCUUCCGACACCUUGAUUUUAGUCCAGUGAGAGCCAUGUUGGACUUCUGAUCUUCAGAAUUGUAAGGCCCUGCUGCACGUCUAAUCAAUUAUGUCAGUGCCACUGCCGCCUUUCCCAGCUCACAUUCAGGUCUUCUCAAGACACCCAAAGUGGAAAGUAUUUUGAAUUACUUUCUUUGACUGACUGUCUUGAAUUCCUCAGGAUCACUGUUGAUAACAUUCAGAAUGAUUUCUGGGACACAGCACUAGGCUUAAAAUAGCCUGAAGGCUUCUGCGGCAACCACCUGAUAUGAGAAGUGAUUUGUUACCCCUGUUAAGGAAGAAUCAGAUGUCAUGUUAUACAAGGUUAAUGAGCAACAACUGUUUCAUAGCUUGAGCACGGCCCAUACUGCAGACCCUAGUUUCUCCCUACUCCAGAGAGAGCUGCAGUCUUGUAGAGGUAGAAAGAAAUCGAUUGCUUUGGUUUUCUGAUAGCACAAACCUGGCUGCAGAUCUGAAACAGAAUGAACUGGCAUUAGAGUGAUAGCAGGCCAGCCUGCCAACAGCACCCUUUCUCAUGACAGCAAGCUAAUGCUGGAAAUGGUCAGGACAAAGGUCUAAGUUUGUAAUCAACUGCAAACGUGGACUCUUCCAUUCGGAUAGCACUUGUUCUCCUCCAGCUGAAAGAAAAGGACAAGAAUGGAUGUUUUCUUAGCAACUACAGUGCUGGAUCAUCACAUAUCUCAUCUGAUCUUAACACAAGUACUCUGUGAGGAAAGCUUAAUGACUCAACAAAUAAAUUAUCUCUUCAAUAACUCAAAAUGGGGAGGCUUCAAGGAAUUUCACAUAACUGACCCCUGGAUACAUAAAUAUAUUAAGUUCCAAGGCACAUAUAAAAUGCCUACAGAUCUCAACAAGAAAACGGGAUGUUUCUCUGCUAUCAGCUAAAGCUGCUGUGACCAUAAAACGAAAAAAUCACCUAUUGUCUCCUUGCUCAUAAAGAAUGCCCACUAAAAUUGGUCCAGUAUCUUAUCUCUCCAUCCAGACAGUGCUUGUUGCUAAAUACACAGCCUGUUUUUACAGUCUUCACUGAACUCUGGUUUCCGCCAUUUUCAGUGGGGGGAAAAUUUGUAUGAAAAGUUCAUAAGUAAUGUGCAAAUGGGCUAUAUUUUUGCAACUUGCUUUCAUUGUCAUCUGGGAUCCAUCGAGAUUCUUCUGGGGAGACUGAACACCGUUCUGUGCUGCUAGUCUGGAGGAGUGAGGAGAGAAAGCAUGACCCUACCACUUGGAUGGGAGUUUCUGACAUUGCAAGGGCAAAGAUUCUGAACAUCAAAGAUAUCCUUGAUCAUAGAUCUUUGAAAGCAACUCUAAAACUUUCAGAAUGGACAAAAAGAGGCCUUUCCCAUCUCCACUGAGUCCUGAGAAAUAAGAUGUAUAUUUGAGAUGCAGCAAGAAAGACUUUAGAUUCUUAACUUUUGGGAAGGUCACAUACCCCUUUGAUAAUUAGAUAAAAAUUAUGAACAUUUUUCACAGAAAAAAUAUCCAUAAAGACACAUACAUAGAAUUUUGAAAACUUGAG